GCGCCCGUAGCUCAGUUGGAUAGAGCACGAGACUUCUAAUCUUGAGGCCAGUGGUUCGAAUCCACUCGGGCGCACCA
rnacentral:tRNA from 1 species